rnacentral:sRNA from 1 species
CGGCGCGGGGAUCGCCCCCCACCAGCGUGUUACGCCCGUGGGGGCGAAACCA